rnacentral:rRNA from 1 species
AACCGAGUCUUAACCGGGCGUUAAGUUGCAGGGUAUAGACCCGAAACCCGGUGAUCUAGCCAUGGGCAGGUUGAAGGUUGGGUAACACUAACUGGAGGACCGAACCGACUAAUGUUGAAAAAUUAGCGGAUGACCUGUGGCUGGGGGUGAAAGGCCAAUCAAACCGGGAGAUAGCUGGUUCUCCCCGAAAGCUAUUUAGGUAGCGCCUCGUGAAUUCAUCUCCGGGGGUAGAGCACUGUUUCGGCUAGGGGGCCAUCCCGGCUUACCAACCCGAUGCAAACUGCGAAUACCGGAGAAUGUUAUCACGGGAGACACACGGCGGGUGCUAACGUCCGUCGUGAAGAGGGAAACAACCCAGACCGCCAGCUAAGGUCCCAAAGUCAUGGUUAAGUGGGAAACGAUGUGGGAAGGCCCAGACAGCCAGGAUGUUGGCUUAGAAGCAGCCAUCAUUUAAAGAAAGCGUAAUAGCUCACUGGUCGAGUCGGCCUGCGCGGAAGAUGUAACGGGGCUAAACCAUGCACCGAAGCUGCGGCAGCGACACUGUGUGUUGUUGGGUAGGGGAGCGUUCUGUAAGCCUGUGAAGGUGUGUCGUGAGGCAUGCUGGAGGUAUCAGAAGUGCGAAUGCUGACAUAAGUAACGAUAAAGCGGGUGAAAAGCCCGCUCGCCGGAAGACCAAGGGUUCCUGUCCAACGUUAAUCGGGGCAGGGUGAGUCGACCCCUAAGGCGAGGCCGAAAGGCGUAGUCGAUGGGAAACGGGUUAAUAUUCCCGUACUUGGUGUUACUGCGAAGGGGGGACGGAGAAGGCUAUGUUGGCCGGGCGACGGUUGUCCCGGUUUAAGUGUGUAGGUGUGUGUUCCAGGUAAAUCCGGUUCACUUUAACACUGAGGCGUGACGACGAGGCACUACGGUGCUGAAGCAACAAAUGCCCUGCUUCCAGGAAAAGCCUCUAAGCAUCAGGUAACAUCAAAUCGUACCCCAAACCGACACAGGUGGUCAGGUAGAGAAUACCAAGGCGCUUGAGAGAACUCGGGUGAAGGAACUAGGCAAAAUGGUGCCGUAACUUCGGGAGAAGGCACGCUGACACGUAGGUGAAGUGAUUUACUCAUGGAGCUGAAGUCAGUCGAAGAUACCAGCUGGCUGCAACUGUUUAUUAAAAACACAGCACUGUGCAAACACGAAAGUGGACGUAUACGGUGUGACGCCUGCCCGGUGCCGGAAGGUUAAUUGAUGGGGUCAGCGCAAGCGAAGCUCCUGAUCGAAGCCCCGGUAAACGGCGGCCGUAACUAUAACGGUCCUAAGGUAGCGAAAUUCCUUGUCGGGUAAGUUCCGACCUGCACGAAUGGCGUAAUGAUGGCCAGGCUGUCUCCACCCGAGACUCAGUGAAAUUGAACUCGCUGUGAAGAUGCAGUGUACCCGCGGCAAGACGGAAAGACCCCGUGAACCUUUACUAUAGCUUGACACUGAACAUUGAGCCUUGAUGUGUAGGAUAGGUGGGAGGCUUUGAAGUGUGGACGCCAGUCUGCAUGGAGCCGACCUUGAAAUACCACCCUUUAAUGUUUGAUGUUCUAACGUGGACCCGUUACCCGGGUUGCGGACAGUGUCUGGUGGGUAGUUUGACUGGGGCGGUCUCCUCCUAAAGAGUAACGGAGGAGCACGAAGGUUGGCUAAUCCUGGUCGGACAUCAGGAGGUUAGUGCAAUGGCAUAAGCCAGCUUGACUGCGAGCGUGACGGCGCGAGCAGGUGCGAAAGCAGGUCAUAGUGAUCCGGUGGUUCUGAAUGGAAGGGCCAUCGCUCAACGGAUAAAAGGUACUCCGGGGAUAACAGGCUGAUACCGCCCAAGAGUUCAUAUCGACGGCGGUGUUUGGCACCUCGAUGUCGGCUCAUCACAUCCUGGGGCUGAAGUAGGUCCCAAGGGUAUGGCUGUUCGCCAUUUAAAGUGGUACGCGAGCUGGGUUUAGAACGUCGUGAGACAGUUCGGUCCCUAUCUGCCGUGGGCGCUGGAGAACUGAGGGGGGCUGCUCCUAGUACGAGAGGACCGGAGUGGACGCAUCACUGGUGUUCGGGUUGUCAUGCCAAUGGCACUGCCCGGUAGCUAAAUGCGGAAGAGAUAAGUGCUGAAAGCAUCUAAGCACGAAACUUGCCCCGAG